rnacentral:rRNA from 1 species
CCUACGGGAGGCAGCAGUCGAGAAUCAUUCACAAUGGGGGAAACCCUGAUGGUGCGACGCCGCGUGGGGGAAUGAAGGUCUUCGGAUUGUAAACCCCUGUCAUGUGGGAGCAAAUUAAAAAGAUAGUACCACAAGUGGAAGAGACGGCUAACUCUGUGCCAGCAGCCGCGGUAAUACAGAGGUCUAAAGCGUUGUUCGGAAUCACUGGGCGUAAAGCGUGCGUAGGCUGUUUCGUAAGUCGUGUGUGAAAGGCGCGGGCUCAACCCGCGGACGGCACAUGAUACUGCGAGACUAGAGUAAGGGAGGGGGAAGCGGAAUUCGCGGUGUAGCAGUGAAAUGCGUAGAUAUCGAGAGGAACACUCGUGGCGAAGGCGGGUUCCUGGACAUUAACUGACGCUGAGGCACGAAGGCCAGGGGAGCGAAAGGGAUUAGAUACCCUGGUAGUC